GACGAACGCUGGCGGCGUGCCUAAUACAUGCAAGUAGGACGCAGUUGCGAACGGGUGAGUAACGCGUAGGUAACUGCCUAUUAGAGGGGGAUAACUAUUGGAAACGAUAGCUAAUACCGCAUACUAGUAGAUGGACCUGCGUUGUAUUAGCUAGUAGGUAGGGUAAUGGCCUACCUAGGCAACGAUACAUAGCCUACCUGGGAGGGUGGACGGCCACGCUGGGAAUUGGACACGGCCCAGACUCCUCCGGGAGGCAGGAGUAGGGAAUCUUCGGCAAGGGGGGGAACCCUGACCGAGCAACGCCGCGUGAGUGGAGAAGGUUGUCGGAUCGUAAAGCUCGGUUGUGAAGGAAGCGGUACUUAACGAGAAAGGGACGGCUAACUACGUGCCAGCAGCCGCGGUAAUUC
rnacentral:rRNA from 1 species